rnacentral:rRNA from 1 species
GGCUGAAAUUCGCCUUCAUGAAGCCGGAAUUGCUAGUAAUGGCAGGUCAGCAUACUGCCGUGAAUACGUUCCCGGGCCUUGUACACACCGCCCGUCACACCAUGAGAGUUGGGAAUACCCGAAGCCUGUGAGCUAACGUAAGAGGCAGCAGUCGAAGGUAGAAUCAAUGAUUGGGGUGAAGUCGUAACAAGGUAAC